rnacentral:rRNA from 1 species
GACGAACGCUGGCGGCGUGCUUAACACAUGCAAGUCGAACGGAAAGGCCCUGCUUUUGUGGGGUGCUCGAGUGGCGAACGGGUGAGUAACACGUGAGUAACCUGCCCUUGACUUUGGGAUAACUUCAGGAAACUGGGGCUAAUACCGGAUAGGAGCUCCUGCUGCAUGGUGGGGGUUGGAAAGUUUCGGCGGUUGGGGAUGGACUCGCGGCUUAUCAGCUUGUUGGUGGGGUAGUGGCUUACCAAGGCUUUGACGGGUAGCCGGCCUGAGAGGGUGACCGGCCACAAUGGGACUGAGGUACGGCCCAGACUCCUACGGGAGGCAGCAGUGGGGAAUAUUGCACAAUGGGCGGAAGCCUGAUGCAGCAACGCCGCGUGCGGGAUGACGGCCUGCGGGUUGUAACCCGCUUUCGCCUGUGACGAAGCGUGAGUGACGGUAAUGGGUAAAGAAGCACCGGCUAACUACGUG